UACGGGGGGGGCAAGCGUUGUUCGGAAUUACUGGGCGUAGAGGGCUCGUAGGCGGCCAACUAAGUCAGACGUGAAAUCCCCAGGCUCAACCUGGGAACUGCGUCUGGUACUGGAUGGCUUGAAUCCGGGAGAGGGAUGCAGAAUUCCAGGUGUAGCGGUGAAAUGCGUAGAUAUCUGGAGGAAUACCGGUGGCGAAGGCGGCAUCCUGGACCGGCAUUGACGCUGAGGAGCGAAAGCCAGGGGAGCAAACGGG
rnacentral:rRNA from 1 species